rnacentral:rRNA from 1 species
AAGCGCUUGCAACCAGACUUGCACGCUGUUGAUCAUCCAGGCUUCUGUUUGGUGCACUCAACUGUGUUCAGGCCAGCAUCGGUUUUGGUGGUGGGAUAAAGGCCUUGGGAAUGUAGCUUCUUUCGGGGAGUGUUAUAGCCCUCGGUGCAAUGCCGCCUACUGGGACCGAGGACCGCGCUUCGGCUAGGAUGCUGGCGUAAUGGUUGUAAGCGA